GAUGAAGAACGCAGCGAAAUGCGAUAAGUAGUGUGAAUUGCAGAAUUCAGUGAAUCAUCGAAUCUUUGAACGCACAUUGCGCCCUUUGGUAUUCCUUAGGGCAUGCCUGUUCGAGCGUCAUUUAAACCUUCAAGCUAAGCUUGGUGUUGGGUGACUGUCCGCUUCACGGCGGACUCGCCUCAAAAUUAUUGGCGGCCGGUACAUUGGCUUCGAGCGCAGCAGAAACGCGAACUCGGGCCCGUCGUAUUGGCUCCCAGAAGCUAUCUUCACAAUUUUGACCUCGGAUCAGGUAGGGAUACCCGCUGAACUUAAGCAUAUCAAAGCGGAGGA
rnacentral:misc_RNA from 1 species